rnacentral:siRNA from 1 species
AUGAGUUCCGGGGCCUGUGUUU